rnacentral:rRNA from 1 species
UGCCUAAGACAUGCAAGUCGAACGAGAGGGCCAAGAAGUUGAUGGAAAGUUAGAGUGCUUGCACAAAGACCGGAAAUUAACAGAUUGGAUUUCCCUCUAGUGGCAAACGGGUGAGUAACACGUGGGUUACCUACCUCUAAGUUGGGGAUAACAGUUGGAAACGACUGAUAAUACCGAAUAAGCUCUACGGAGUAAAGAUGCCCUUAAAGCAUCGCUUUGAGAUGGGCCUGCGGCGUAUUAGCUAGUUGGUGGGAUAACGGCCUACCAAGGCAACGAUGCGUAGCCGAACUGAGAGGUUAAUCGGCCACACUGGGACUGAGACACGGCCCAGACUCCUACGGGAGACAGCAGUUAGGAAUAUUCGUCAAUGGGGGAAACCCUGAACGAGCAAUGCCGCGUGAACGAAUGAAGGCCCUAUGGGUUGUAAAGUUCUGUUGUUUGGAAAGAAAUGUAAGAUUAGGAAAUGAAUCUUAUUUGACGGUACCAUUCAAGAAAGCCACGGCUAACUACGUGCCAGCAGCGGC